GCGGUAACAUUUCUAGCUUGCUAGAAGAUGACGAGCGGCGGACGGGUGAGUAAUACUUAGGAAUCUACCUAGUAGUGGGGGAUAGCUCGGGGAAACUCGAAUUAAUACCGCAUACGACCUACGGGAGAAAGGGGGCAACUUGUUGCUCUCGCUAUUAGAUGAGCCUAAGUCGGAUUAGCUAGAUGGUGGGGUAAAGGCCUACCAUGGCGACGAUCUGUAGCUGGUCUGAGAGGAUGAUCAGCCACACCGGGACUGAGACACGGCCCGGACUCCUACGGGAGGCAGCAGUGGGGAAUAUUGGACAAUGGGGGAAACCCUGAUCCAGCCAUGCCGCGUGUGUGAAGAAGGCCUUUUGGUUGUAAAGCACUUUAAGCAGUGAAGAAGACUCUUCGGUUAAUACCCGGAGACGAUGACAUUAGCUGCAGAAUAAGCACCGGCUAACUCUGUGCCAGCAGCCGCGGUAAUACAGAGGGUGCAAGCGUUAAUCGGAAUUACUGGGCGUAAAGCGAGCGUAGGUGGCUUGAUAAGUCAGAUGUGAAAUCCCCGGGCUUAACCUGGGAACUGCAUCUGAUACUGUCAGGCUAGAGUAGGUGAGAGGAAGGUAGAAUUCCAGGUGUAGCGGUGAAAUGCGUAGAGAUCUGGAGGAAUACCGAUGGCGAAGGCAGCCUUCUGGCAUCAUACUGACACUGAGGCUCGAAAGCGUGGGUAGCAAACA
rnacentral:rRNA from 1 species